rnacentral:rRNA from 1 species
AUUGAACGCUGGCGGCAGGCUUAACACAUGCAAGUCGAACGGUAACAGGAAGAUGCUUGCUUCUUUGCUGACGAGUGGCGGACGGGUGAGUCAUGUCUAGGAAACCGCCUGCUGGAGGGGGAUAACUACAGGAAACGGUAGCUACUACCGCAUAACGUCGCAAGCCCAAAAAGGGGGACCUUCUGGCCUCUUGCCAUCGGAUGCGCCCAGAUGGGAUGAGCUUGUAGGUGGGGUAAUCGUACCCCUUGGUGACGAGCCCUAGCUGAUCUGAGAGGAUGACCGGCCACACGAGAACUGGAACACGGUCCAGACUCCUACGGGAGGCAGCAGUGGGGUAUAUUGGGCAGUGGGCGCGAGCAUGAUGCAGCCAUGCGGCGUGUAUUGAGGAGGCGUUGCGGUUGUGAAGUACUUUCAGCGGGGAGAAAGGGAGUCAAGUUAAGACGAAGGGUCAUUGACGUUACCCGGAGAAGAAGCACCGGCUAACUCCGUG